GCAAGUCGAGCGGACAGAUGGGAGCUUGCUCCCUGAUGUUAGCGGGACGGGUGAGUAACACGUGGGUAACCUGCCUGUAAGACUGGGAUAACUCCGGGAAACCGGGGCUAAUACCGGAUGCUUGUUUGAACCGCAUGGUUCAAACAUAAAAGGUGGCUCGGCUACCACUUACAGAUGGACCCGCGGCGCAUUAGCUAGUUGGUGAGGUAAUGGCUCACCAAGGCGACGAUGCGUAGCCGACCUGAGAGGGUGAUCGGCCACACUGGGACUGAGACACGGCCCAGACUCCUACGGGAGGCAGCAGUAGGGAAUCUUCCGCAAUGGACGAAAGUCUGACGGAGCAACGCCGCGUGAGUGAUGAAGGUUUUCGGAUCGUAAAGCUCUGUUGUUAGGGAAGAACAAGUACCGUUCGAAUAGGGCGGUACCUUGACGGUACCUAACCAGAAAGCCACGGCUAACUACGUGCCAGCAGCCGCGGUAAUACGUAGGUGGCAAGCGUUGUCCGGAAUUAUUGGGCGUAAAGGGCUCGCAGGCGGUUUCUUAAGUCUGAUGUGAAAGCCCCCGGCUCAACCGGGGAGGGUCAUUGGAAACUGGGGAACUUGAGUGCAGAAGAGGAGAGUGGAAUUCCACGUGUAGCGGUGAAAUGCGUAGAGAUGUGGAGGAACACCAGUUGGCGAAGGCGACUCUCUGGUCUGUAACUGACGCUGAGGAGCGAAAGCGUG
rnacentral:rRNA from 1 species